UACAGAGGUCUCAAGCGUUGUUCGGAUUCAUUGGGCGUAAAGGGUGCGUAGGCGGCGCGGUAAGUCGGGUGUGAAAUCUCGGAGCUUAACUCCGAAACUGCAUUCGAUACUGCCGUGCUCGAGGACUGGAGAGGAGACUGGAAUUUACGGUGUAGCGGUGAAAUGCGUAGAUAUCGUAAGGAAGACCAGUGGCGAAGGCGGGUCUCGUGGACAGUUCCUGACGCUGAGGCACGGAAGGUCAGGG
rnacentral:rRNA from 1 species